UCUGUGUCCAAUCAGUGACAAAGUUGCAUUUUACAUGUUUAUUAUUUUUUUGUUGACUAGCUAAUUUCCAAUUCUUCGAUAAUCCAUUUGUUUAAAUCCUUACUAAUUCAUUAGUAAUAUUUGUAAAAUUAUAAACAUAUUAUAAAUUAUUAAAAAAAGGACUUUAAAUUUUGUCACGUAAAAAAAAUCAUCACCUUCCAGAGUCAAAAUCGUUCCAUUCUAAUGCGCGUUUAUAAAUCCCUACCCGUGAGUCAUGACGCAAACUGUUCGUACUGGUCAGUUAGCCUCGUCAGCAAAGCCAAGUGCACGUGUCUCCCUCGCUUUUGAAAUUAUAUACAUUCUUCGUGCCUUCAAGAGCCUUUCGUCCAAAUAUUAUUUCAUCACAUUCCGUCGAAUUUGAAAAGUUCAGCGCAAAAUGACGAAGAUGGACCGACUUCACAAAUCUAAAAAAUACACACCAAUUAAAAGGAUCCCUGAACUAUAUGCCAUCCAAAAAUAGAAAGAAAGAACAAGAUAUUUGGCCAGAAAAGCUAAUAAUAAGAUUUGCAGUAUUAAGGAAAUGACUCCCAGAGCACAAAGGUCAGAGAAAAUACAGAAAAUUAUUUAAAAAGGAAAUUAGAAAAGAAAAGUAUUGAGAUGGUACUGGUAGAAAACUCCGCUUCUAGUAUGGCUGAUUCUAUUAUACAGAGAGCAGACCCGUUAAAAAUAAUAGAAGUAACUAAGCAACUAACUAACUCCAAGCAGUAGUAAAGUUCCCCAACAGUCGUGAGCCACAAAUGUAAUAAGACGAAUGCGUUACAACCAUCUUAAGAUCGAUAAGUAACCCUUAUCAGCAGUGUUGAUCGCCAGCUCUCACGAUGUGUAGAACAAUAUUUGAACUUAUAUUCUCGAUCCGUGGAUAUUCAACUAGAAGCAAUAGACUCCAUACCGAUAUUGGCUACCUUAAACGAACUCGAUGAACCACCUACACACGAAUACAAGAAUUUCAAAA
rnacentral:lncRNA from 1 species